AUGUGACAGAGUGGACUGGGCAUCUAAGUCCACUGGGGAAACAGCAGGAAACAGAACAGAUGGUUCGGCUUGCAUUCCGGUGGGGAGUUGGACAACACACGAGCAGAUCCAUAAAGUGAUAUCCGAGAGUGAUCUGUGCCGCCAAGAAAGGAAGACAGGUCCUGCGACAGGGCUGACUGUGGAGCCUCCUUAGCCAGGCUGGACAGGGAUGCCUCUCCCAGGAGCCCGCACUGGAGACUAGUGUGUCCCACCAGACUUCCACGUGGCCUGCGAGUGCUCAGCAAUAGUGACAACAGGGUCUCUACUCCAUGAAAAACCAUCCCCAGACCCGAAAGCACUGCUUUCAUUUCAUGGUUCUGCACAUUUUCUCCAGCCUCUGCAGUGAAAGAUUAUUUCAUUGCCUUCAACAGAAGGCGUAUUUGUGUGUGUACAUAUGCUUGAGAGAAAUUUACUGAAAAGAUGUGGGUACGAGACCAGCUGGCUGCACUUGCCACGCCAGGAUCCUCUCUCAGCAAUAUGCCCAAGAGCUCGUGUUUGCAAUGCUCGAGUCCCAGCCAGGGGAGAA
rnacentral:lncRNA from 1 species